rnacentral:rRNA from 1 species
AUUGAACGCUGGCGGCAGGCCUAACACAUGCAAGUCGAGUGCGAAAGUUCUUCGGAAUGAGUAAAGCGGCGGACGGGUGAGUAAUACAUGGGAAUCUGCCUGGUAGUGGGGGACAACGUUUCGAAAGGAACGCUAAUACCGCAUACGCCCUACGGGGGAAAGGGGGGGAUCUUCGGACCUCUCGCUAUCAGAUGAGCCCA